rnacentral:rRNA from 1 species
GACGAACGCUGGCGGCGUGCUUAACACAUGCAAGUCGAACGGUAAGGCCCUUCGGGGUACACGAGUGGCGAACGGGUGAGUAACACGUGGGUGAUCUGCCCUGCACUUCGGGAUAAGCCUGGGAAACUGGGUCUAAUACCGGAUAGGACCACUGCCUGCAUGGGUGGUGGUGGAAAGCUUCUGCGGUGUGGGAUGGGCCCGCGGCCUAGCAGCUUGUGGGUGGGGUGAUGGCCUACCAAGGCGAGGACGGGUAGCCGGCCUGAGAGGGUGACCGGGCACACUGGGACUGGGAUACGGCCCAGACUCCUGCGGGAGGGAGCAGUGGGGAAUGUUGCGCAAUGGGCGCAAGCCUGAUGCAGCGACGCCGCGUGAGGGAUGACGGCCUUCGGGUUGUAAACCUCUUUCAGCACCGACGAAGCGCAAGUGACGGUAGGUGCAGAAGAAGGACCGGCCAACUACGUGCCAGCCGCCGCGGUAA